AAGCUCAAACGAAGUCCAAACUCAAAUCCCCCAACCCAAAGAAUUUUCUUUCUAACUUUUGUUUUUCUGUUUUUGCUUCGAUCUUCUUCUGUUUCUUUUUCUCUUUUCUCACUUACUCCUUUUCUAUUUUCUUUUUUUUUCUUUUUCUGUUUUUUUCUUUUUCUUUUCUCACUUACUCCUUUUCUGUUUUCUUCUUUUUCUUUUCUCCCCUAGGUUGUCCGUAUGUAUAUGAUAUAUAUAAUGGUGUAUGUGUGUUUGUAGUGAAGUUGGAGAU
rnacentral:lncRNA from 1 species